UGCGUAGGCGGAAUAUUAAGUCAGUGGUGAAAUCCUGCGGCUCAACCGUAGAACUGCCAUUGAUACUGAUAUUCUUGAAUGUAGUUGAGGUAGGCGGAAUGUGUAAUGUAGCGGUGAAAUGCUUAGAUAUUACACAGAACACCGAUUGCGAAGGCAGCUUACUAAACUAUGAUUGACGCUGAGGCACGAAAGCGUGGAGAGCGAACAGGAUUAGAUACCCUGGUAGUCC
rnacentral:rRNA from 1 species